UAAUAUUCAACAGGACCGGGGAAUGUGUUCUUGUUCCAUGUCCUGGUUGCCAGGAAGUCCUUGCCCUGGACCCUGUAAUGCCCGGGGUCUUCCUGAGAAACGCUGGUGGCCACUGGAGCACAGCCCGGCCCCCUCCAGUUUCUCUGCUUUGUAACUGCACUUGUGUUUAGCAGGUCUUCCAGGACUUAGACGCUGCUUGGUGUGAGCCAGGUUUUGUGUGUAAAGAGGACAGAUCCGAGCCGGCAACCAACCAGCCCAGAACCAUCUUUUAUGCUUCCAGAUUCUGUGGCCAAAAACUUACCCGUGGACAUUGAGGGUGGUGCAUUUCUGCUCCAAGACGUGUGUGGACUCAGCUGGAGGGAUAGAAAGGACGUGGAGCCUCUUCCCUCCUGGCCUGGGCUUGGACCUGCUGUGUAGCCUCUCAGUGACACCAGGGCCCCCUUGUGUCACAGCGGCCUCGGGUUGCUGGCACUGCCCCAGGAUGUCCCAGGCUUCAUGAUGUCCAGGCUCCCCUGGCAUGGCGGCCUCAGAUUUCUUUGCAUCGUCUCCCUUAUCCAGAAGUGAGUGUGAACGCUGAGUUAUUCACGGGAGUCAAGAAACCACACGCAGCCCAAAGUGACGUUUGUUUCCCUGGAAUGAUUUGUGUGUGUUCACCUUAAAAUGCAACUCAGUAAAACAGGUGUGUUUUGAGGAAUGACUUUAAAUUACCCAGGUAAAAAUGUGACAGGUAAAUUUCAUUGUCUGUGCGGGUGUCCACAACCCCCUUCUGUGAUUGCGUGUGAGUUUGUGACUUGUGGUUAUUUUUGAAGAAAGAAAAUCUGUGGCUGAGGACUUCAGAGGGUGUGCUGGGAUUGUGUAGGGUGGACAUCGGGGGCUUCAGUGUGUGGCUUCCUUGAAGAGGUUCAAAUUAAGGCUGAGAGUCCCUACUCCAAAAUGCUCCGAAACCUGAAACAUUCGGAGCUUCCCCAUGACACUUGAAGGAAAUGCUUUUCGGAGCACUUUGGAUUUCAGGCGGGGGAUGCUCAACUGGAAAUUGAAAUAUUGCAAGACCCUUCUGGCCCCAGGAGCUUGGAUAAGGACAUGGAGGGGGCCUGUGCCGGGUGUCCCUGGAGUGUGAGACAGCCUGGGAUCACCGGACUGGUUUUUGUAGGAGCCACAGAAGGGAAAGAGGGUCAAAGUGGCCACGUCUGACUCCUGAGAAGUCUGGACCAGAAGGAGGUGGGCACGGCGGGCAGCAGUUGAGUCCCCAGUGUCCGGGGCUCCUGUCCCUGGUGGAGUUGAGAGCCUCCUCUAGUUGUGGCCUCUCCCCUGUCAGCAGCCACUGAGGCCUGAAGGGAGAGAGGGCUGAGGAGAGGAGGGAAGGAUAGGCCUGCUUCUGGAGAGGGCCGGCGUCGGCCUGUGCUAGCCUCGUGUGUUACUCCUGCGUCCAGGGUGCACGGCCAUGCCUUGUGGUGUAGUGCUUCCCGGGAUGCACAGUACUCUUGUCUGCAGUAACGGCUUUGUCUCCGACCCUUGGAGGCAAGUUACCUUUUUCCCCAGUGAAAAGAGGUAAAAAAAUCUUACAGAAAUGCAUUUGUUCUAAUGUCUAUUUUCCGAUAAGACAUGGUCGCUUAGGCUAAAUCUUCGGGAGGUCAAGGCAGGAGGAUCACUUGAGGCCAAGGGUUUGAAGACCAGCCUGGACAAUAUAGCAAGACCCCAUCUGUAUAAUAGAAAAAUUAGCUGAGUGUGGUGGUGCGUGCCUGUGGUCCCUGCUACUCUGGAGGCUGAGAUGGGAAGAUCACUUUAAGGCUACAGUGAGCUGCGAUUGCUCCACUGUACUCCAAUCUUGGCGACAGAGCCAAGACCCAGGCUCAGAAAGAAAAGUAAAAAAAAAAAAAAAAAAAAUCCAGAAAUGUCAUUUUCUUUUUAAAUCAUCCCAAAAGAAAAAUCGGUUUUUUCUAAGAAUGUAAAGGGAAACUGAUAUGAUUGUUUCUCCAUUUCAAAUAUUUACAGUAGUCCGUCCACAUCAUCUGUCACCUCUCAUCUCAUUACAGAGCAGCAGGUUUCUUUGAGGUUAGUGGUGUUUCUCUGUGUCGCACCUUGGAGAACAGCCAGCAUGAAACCUCUUACCACGAUCGUGUGCAUUGUUUGUAGUCCCAAUUAAAAUCCUCUCCAGAGACGCCUGUGCUGCUUAUUAUAGCAGAACUUUGGUUGUGCUGAAAUGUGCAUUCAGCUAAUGGUUUUAAGUUCAUA